rnacentral:rRNA from 1 species
GGGUGAGUAACGCGUGGGGAUCUGCCUCGAAGUGGGGAAUAACCGCUGGAAACGGCGGCUAAUACCGCAUACGUCCUACGGGAGAAAGCAGGGGACCUUCGGGCCUUGCGCUAUUAGAUGAGCCCAAGUCGGAUUAGCUAGUUGGUAGGGUAAAGGCCUACCAAGGCGACGAUCCGUAGCUGGUCUGAGAGGAUGAUCAGCCACACUGGGACUGAGACACGGCCCAGACUCC